rnacentral:rRNA from 1 species
UACGUAGGGUGCGAGCGUUAAUCGGAAUUACUGGGCGUAAAGCGUGCGCAGGCGGCGCGUUAAGUCAGGUGUGAAAGCCCCGAGCUUAACUUGGGAAUUGCGCUUGUGACUGGCGUGCUGGAGUGUGGCAGAGGGAGGUGGAAUUCCACGUGUAGCAGUGAAAUGCGUAGAGAUGUGGAGGAACACCGAUGGCGAAGGCAGCCUCCUGGGCCAGCACUGACGCUCAUGCACGGAAGCGUGGGGAGCAAACAGG